GGUGAACUAACCCCAUGAAUUCGGUUAUACCUCGUUGGUAUUCUUCCGUAAGCAAUCUCGUGUUCGGAUCCAAAUGAGGUCGAUCGAUCCAAGAACGAAAAUAAUUUGAAGAAGACAUAUUUUUUUAUGAAUCAAAUUCGUGUGUAAAUAGAGUAAGAGGGAGGAUGAAGAUAUGGAGUGAAUGAAGAGGAAGAGGAGUGCUUGUAUUUAUAGGUUAAAUCCUGCCGACAAACCGAGG
rnacentral:lncRNA from 1 species